GUUUGGUACUUCCGAGUCGGAUGUAUAUCUCAGAUAAAAAUUGCAGGCAAACAAAAAACCUACUAUUCGUAGAGGCGAUAUAUAAAAAUCCUGUUAUUAAUAUAAAAAAAUUUAAAAAGGAGAGACGGUUUUAUACGAGUAUUCACGCUUUUAUGCAUGCAUUAUUGGACUUUGUGGAUAAUUAUGGUGUUUCAACAGACAAUAUCUUAUUUGAUAAUUGUUUAAAUGGCGAAUAAUGCUUUUAACCCUGGACGUGCUUUGUUAGUCGACAAUCAUCGUGAUUUGCAAACAGCAGCAAAAUAACGAUGCCCGUCCAAGGUUUAAUACAACAAAGAUUAAAAAGCCGAGAGACUAGUAAAUGUGAGCAUUAAUGAUUUUUCCGCAGUUUGCACCGAUGCCUGGAACAAAAAUCCGUGCUAAAUUUUGUGAAGAUAUUUUGUCAAGUAAAAAGGUUUUCCAUACAAUAACUUGAUUUUGAUGAGUUGCCGAUUAACUUGUUAUGCCUUCUAUAAAUUGUAUUUACUUUAUUUACUAAGUGCUUCUAUUAUUGGUGUUGCAAAACAAAACUUUUACAUGACCUUCAAACUUUGGUAUAUCGGCUUUGGUAUCGAGGUGUUACCCAAUGGUAAUGUGAUAAAGGUUUCGAGGCCCUUUUCUAACCAAGUUAGUGUUUAACAUGAUAGAAGCGGCCAAUAUCGAUAUGCGCCCGAAAUUGUACUAGUAUAUCGUGCUGUCUGGUGGUUCAGCCAAGUAUCCAGUACUUCCCAGUUUAUUGGAACUUGAAAUUAAUCACUUGUAUUUGGAACAUGUGCUCAAGAAUGAUGUGGAUAAAUUAGCGGUACAUAAUUGCAAAUGAAACAAGUAAGGAAGGGCUAGCAACUUCCUUUUGCCUUGAUAAUACUCUCUAAGGGCCUGGCUCAAUGCUGGCUGGCUUUACUUGCUUUGCUGUGAGAACUCUCAAAACUGAGUAGAACUACACUAGAGCAUAUGAAACGAGACCAAAUAUACUCUUGCUUCAAGCACUUGAAGUUUCAAAAAGCUAUAUGUUCUAUGUGUAAGCGCUUUUGACAAUAGAUUUAGUAACUAUGGUUGCAUUUUUUUUUUCUACUAAAUAUUGGGACACAACAUUU